rnacentral:misc_RNA from 1 species
GAUGAAGAACGUAGCGAAAUGCGAUAAGUAAUGUGAAUUGCAGAAUUCAGUGAAUCAUCGAAUCUUUGAACGCACAUUGCGCCCGCCAGUAUUCUGGCGGGCAUGCCUGUUCGAGCGUCAUUACAACCCUCAGGCCCCCGGGCCUGGCGUUGGGGAUCGGCGGAGCCCCCCGUGGGCACGCGCCGUCCCCCAAAUGCAGUGGCGGUCCCGCCGCAGCUUCCAUCGCGUAGUAGCUAACACCUCGCGACUGGAGAGCGGCGCGGCCACGCCGUAAAACACCCAACUCUUCUGAAGUUGACCUCGAAUCAGGUAGGAAUACCCGCUGAACUUAAGCAUAUCAAUAAGCGGAGGA